UGUUGUGUGUAUAUGUUGUGGGUGUGUUGUGUGUCUGUGUAUAUGUUGUGUGUGUGGUAUGUGUCUGUGUGUGUAAGGGUGGAGCCCCAGGUGAGGAUCAGAGAGUGGUCAGGGCAGUGGUGUGUGUAGCAGGAGGAAAGGAAAAGCCGCUGGCUCUGACCUCUUCUGCAGGGAUCACUGCUGUGUGGUGAGCAGGGGGACCGAAGGGAGGAGUCACUGUGGUCCUGGGGAUUCAGAUGGAAACGGCAUCUCAAGAUGAGGUGGUUUCCAGUGCUAGGUAGGAGGUG